CAGUUCUGCACCAGAAAUUGGAUCUUGGGAGGUCCAGAAUCGACAGGUAUCAGGAAGAUUGAGGAACUCACAGAUGCAUAAGAGAGUGAUGCCAUCUCUAGUGCCAACUAAGACAGAAUAAAUGCCCUCCAUCUUCAGUGCCUGGAGAACUCUCAUUCCCAACCAGGGCACCUCCCAUUCCCCAAGCCAGGAUGUCAGGAAGCUGCGUAGUCAAUAGAGACCUCUUCAUGAGUGUGAAGUCAGAGCAAAGGGAGGUGAAAUCAUCACAAGAGAAAAGAUAUGGAGUUGAAACUGCAAUGGCUUGAAGGCUCAGCAGAGAAGUGAUGAAACCCCAGGAGAGGUAUUGAUGGUGUCAGUAUUUAGAAGACACAACGAGUGUCACUAACAUUUCUGCCUCCCUCACAAGUAGCUUAGCAAAUUUGUCACAGUUGUGCCUUGAUACAC
rnacentral:lncRNA from 1 species